rnacentral:rRNA from 1 species
GUAUGGGGAUCUGCCCGAUAGAGGGGAAUAACUACUGGAAACGGUGGCUAAUACCGCAUAAUGUCUACGGACCAAAGCAGGGGCUCUUCGGACCUUGCACUAUCGGAUGAACCCAUAUGGGAUUAGCUAGUAGGUGGGGUAAAGGCUCACCUAGGCGACGAUCUCUAGCUGGUCUGAGAGGAUGAUCAGCCACACUGGGACUGAGACACGGCCCAG